ensembl:lncRNA
GAGUGCCACCUGGCGUCCUUACUGAAAACUACACGUCCCCAUUUUUAUGAAAACAUAAUAGCCGUAGACAUGUCAUGUGACCAGCAAACACUGGGCUUGUUCCGACAUUGCAGCCGACUGACUGAUCUACAAAUCACCUUGCAUCAUAAAUACCGAUAUUAUUAUUUGUAGAUCAGUCAGUAAGCAUUCGCUUCACGGUUUUGAUGCUCCCGAACAACGGCUUUUAAGAGAAACAGAAAGUUAACCGAACUACGGUUGUUGUUACGGUAGAAACGACGCUGUUACCCAGCGCUCACCUCCGUCAUUCUGAACUCUUUUGACUGAACACCGUUUUGAACCCACGUUCUUGCUGCAUGCUGCUUGCACGGUUUCUACGAAGGUACCGUAAGAUGUCAUCUCUUCCCCGACCUCGUCAUGUGAUCUGGGAGACAGAGGAGCUGGUGGCCUACCUCCACCCCCAGCCCUGGACCCCAGGCACUACCAUCCUGGAGCCGAAGACCCCCAGGGGCCCAGAUGAGGAACCAAGCCCAGCUCAGGGCAGUCUCUUCAGGCUGGGUGAGGGAGCCUACCUGAGGUUGCUGCUGGGGGCCAGGGAGGUGGGGGCCCUGCUGUGUGAGAGGCUGGGGGUGAAGAGAUGUGCCCUGGUCUGCAGGCCCCACCCAGACAGUAACAGUCCACCCCAGAUCCGGGUGCUGCCGCUACACGGCCUUGACAGCGAGUGGCGCCCCCACCUGGCGGGAGAUGAGCACUACACCCACCACGACCCCGGCUACGUCACCUCUAAAAGCGGCCCUCGCUGGACUGACACGUCCCUCCAGGAGAUCCAGGCCGAGAUCCGGGCCCAGCUCCCUUCCCCCAAUGCCCUACCAAACCUCACCUUCCUUGGGGAAGACCCAUCGCACCCCGGCCUCUUCUCCCGGAUCGUCCGUGGAGAGGAGCAGCAGUGGAGGGUGUGGGAGGAUGAGGGACACGUGGCAUUCCUCACCCCCUUCCCCAACGCCCCCGGCCUCACCGUACUGGUCCCCCGUCGACCGCUGACCUCGGAUAUAUUUAGACUUGAAGAGGCAGAUUAUACGAGUUUGGUACUGGCAACCCAGAAGGUGGCCAGGGUUUUGGAAGAGGGUCUUGGAGCGUGGGGGGUGGGGUUGAUAUUCGAGGGGUUUGAGAUUGACUACGCUCAUGCUAAAUUGAUACCUCUGCUCUCUCCGCCCUCCUCUCACCAGGUUGAUGGGGGCUCCACCACUGGCUCUCUACCUCCUCAGGCCCAGUUUAGUGCCACCUAUCCUGGGUUUGUGACCUCGGAGGAUGGCCCUGAGGCCAGCCUGGAGUGUUUGAAGGAGUUACAGGCCAAAAUCACACCGUAAUGAUAAUGUAAUGUAUUGACAUGUUAUGAAAUAUGUAUGUAAUUGCAUAUUAUGAAGGACCUGAAACUGGGUGAUUAUAGUAUUGAUGUAUUGCACUUGACUACAUACAUUCCUAUUGGUUGACUUGUGAUAGCUUUUUUUCAAUAUGAAGCCUGUUGCUUCAUGUACAUACUGAUUUGGUACCAAAUUCUGUAGAUGUGACUGUUUCUGUCAUUUUAUUAUGAACUUGAAAUAGGACAACAAUCAAGAGCUUUAUUUGAGAAACAUGGUACUGUAAGGGUUUUAGAUAUAUCCUUUGAUAAGUACUUAACAGUAGCAUGGAAAAAUACAUGAUUGUUUGAUCAAAAUAAACAUGUGAUUUCUAUGUUUUGUAAAGUGUAUUUUCAGAUAUUUCUAACAGCACAACAGGCUGAGAAAACGAAAAGAAAUAAACCGCUGUCUUUCAUUGUCAAAUGUUACAAUACAUAUGUCAUUACUCAUUACCCCUCUAAUUGUAUUAAAUUAGUACAAACGAUCAUGAACCCAAGCACCUUCAUAUGGGGUUAGUUCACCCAAAUUACAAAAAUAAGUAUUGGAUUCCUUCAAAGGUUUACAUUUGAAGCAGGGGCCAGAUAGACAUAGCUUGCACAGGGGCCAGAUAGACAUAGCUUGCACAGGGGCCAGAUAGACAUACGUUGGUACAGACAGUUUUAUUUUCUUACCCGGUAAGCAAUGUAAUUUAGUGAACUAUCCCUUUAAUCAUUAUAUUCCAUAUGCUUCAGUCAUACCAUUGAAUCAUCACCCAGCGUUCAAUUAUGUUUUGCGGGAUCUAUUUACAGAGUUCAGCACUCGCAACACAUCUGCAUAGUCCCCUAAUGAGGUCUUAAGAUCUCUGCCUAACAAGGCUUCUAAUUGGUCCCUCAGUGUUUCAAUUAAGAGGUUGAAUUAAUGAGCAGUUAAGUGGUUAAUUAGUGGGU